GUGCUCGCUUCGGCGGCACAUAUGCUAAAACUGGAAUGCUACAGAGAAGAUUAGCGUGGCCCCUGUAAUAAAAAUAAAAUUUAAAUAAAUAAAACACAUUGGG